rnacentral:tRNA from 1 species
CCCGGCCGAGCGGGGCUAUUCGGCGCUGCUGCGCCGGCACCGUGGCGGUGCGGCAUGAGCCGGGUGCUGGCGGUGCAGGUCCGCCGGUUCGGCC